rnacentral:tRNA from 1 species
GGCAUGGCACAGUGUUUUGGGUGCUGGACUACAACUCUGGAGACCAGUGUUCAAUUCCCAGCUCAGCCA